GGCUAUUAAAAUUUUAAAAUACACUGUGGGUCACUCACAUUCUGUUUCUACUGAACACUGCUGGUCUUGGGCGUAGAAAACCACAGGAGAGGUCCGUGGAUGGUUUUUCACAGUGAAACAGGUAAUGUUUAGGAAUCAGGUUGAGGAAACGGAGGAGGCCUCUGAUUCCAGCCCCACACAGCCCUGACCGUGGCGGGGGAUGAGUGCUGGCCUAAUGACCUGCCCUGUGGCUAGAGGGCGUGGCUUGCACAGCUGCACCCUGUGCCACACCGGCCUGGUGAGGCAGAGCGGUUCCCUGCUGGUGAAGCAGCAGCUCCCUGGGUGAGCCUGUGCAUGGUGAGGGGAUGGAGACCGAGAGCCCAGGGAGGAGGCUGAAGGACAGAUCCUCUCCAGACUGCCCUCAUUACCAUCCGGGCAGAUGACUCAUCUGAGGUCCCUGCUCUCCUCAGGCCAUGAUGAGGGCCAUGAUGAUGACCACUCACAGUGAAUCACACUGAGAAUGUGUGUGUGUGCUGGGGGGCAGGCAGGAUUCCCAGCCAGGAAAGGAGGAGUAGAGGCGGAGCAUGGGUCCCACUGCACCUGCUCACAGGGUCCUAGGGCUGCUGGGAAAUGCUUCUGGGGAAACCCGAGGCUCCCCUGGUCCCAAGCUCCUUCCCCAGCAAAUCUGCAGCCAGAGUACAAGGCGUAGGGCCUCUGAGAGCCAUGAACAACAGAGUUGUUCUCUGUCCCCCUUUCAGACCCAAAGCAGCUCUGGGCCAGCCAGUUAGGCUUCCUCCCUCUCAGCAACACCUCUGCCCCAGAGCACAGAGAUUGCCCAGGACUCUGGCAACCUGGGCAGGGUGCCUGGUCCCUGGGGCAGCCGGGCCUCCCCAUGGAGUCCUGGGCUUGUGGAGGAGGAGGAGCGCCCUCUGUAGGCUGGCACACACAAGUGCAGGCUCCACAGGAAAGAGGAGAUGGCUCACCGUGGAGGCUGCACCUUGUGGCUGUGGGAAGCCACAGAUCCUGCAGAGGUCCUCUCUCCUGUGGCUACAGCUUCUUGGGUUACAGAAUAACUGUUAAUUCUGAACCUGACUCCUGCUGUGGCUUUCCAACAGCUACCAUUUCUUUGAGUCGAAGUUUGCUGGGCUAAAUGCAUCAUAGACAUAGCCAUAUUACAACCUGUAAGGCAGGUAUUGUUAUUUCUGAUUUCUAGGUGAGAAAACAGAGGCUCAAAGAGAUUAGGUAUAUUGUCCAGGGUCACACAACUAUUACCUGGGGCCUGAUUCCAGAGUCCAAGGACUAACCAAUUCACACUGCAGCCCACUUAGGGUCUGGCCUUCUAGGAGGGAAAGAGAGGUGUGAGGACAGUCAGGGAAACAGCUCUGGUGACCUUCAGUGCGGCGACCAAGAUGAGGUGGGGAUGAUGGAGAAAUGCAGAGGAUCCAAGCCAUGGGAUGGAAGUGACAAGAGGCCAUUGCUUUGAGUUCCCCUGAGAAGGCGUUUGUCAAUAUCUCCCCAGCCCGGUUAUCACGGGCUAUUUCUUGACAUCUUGACAUCACCCCCACCCCACACACAUAUGGCAGCCCCAUUCCACUACACAUGCACCGCUAGUCAGCCAUGGGGCAUACACUGGGAUUUCAUGCUGUCCUCCAUUUCACAGAGGAGGAAACUGAGGACUAGGGAUUUCCCCAAUCUCAGACCAUCCCACUGAUCACUGGCAGACCUCAGGCCCACCCCACUUACUGAGUUAAACUGGAGUGCAUACUGAGUCUGCCAAGGACAGAGAAGUCGGGUGGUGCCUCCGAGCCUUCUUUAGGCCUGUGGUUGGGGGCCUCACGCCUCCUCUCCCCAACACAACAGACUUUGUAUCUCAUAUUCAAGUUUACCACCCCUCCUUGUCCCUUUGUUCUGCCAGGUUCUCUAGCCCCCCUUUCCUAUUGAGUUAGGAGUUUUGAGAACUCAUUGUCACCAACUCCCCCCACCAUCAUCUUCAUCUUCUCUGCCGCUGCUCUGUUACCCUCAUCUCAUAUUGGUCACUACAAUGACCUUCACUGCCCCCACCACUCUACCAUGGCCUCUAGCACUUGAGCCGCCACCUUGAUCUUCAGCAUUACCAGCACGUCCUGCCAUUGUCAUCAUUUCUGUCCUUUGUGAUGGCAGCGUCACCAUUUUCCUCCUCCCCAUGACUUCCACCCCUCACCUCUGCACUGCCAUCCUCUCCACUAUGACUGUCACUAACAUGACCUCUGCCACCUCCACUUCAUCUGCAGAAUCACAUCCAGUAUCACCUCCACUAUCGCUGUCACCACUGCCGCCACUACCAGACCUGCAUAGCAGCAUGGUGGGAAGAUCCUAAUCUACAGUCUGCUGGGCUGGGAGUACUGCAGAUGAGCUGAGAGAAGCUCCACUCUUCCAAGAUUGUUACUUUCAUCACUCCAUCACCUGGGAUUUAUCUGAAUCUGGAUCAAUUCGGUGUCAAGACUGAAUCCACCUCGUCCUUAAGACCUAACAGGUUUUCAAAUAUGCACCCUAGUAGACAAGAGGCUUCUUGCAGAUAACACAGGAAAUGACGUCCCAACCAAAAAUAAUCGGCCAUCUAAAGUCACCAGCCUAAAAGAAGCAUUAGAAAAUGUUCAUCUGAUGUUUCUAUUGAUUCUUCUCUUCCCAAGGCCAAAACUAGCUCAGCAAGAUGUCUUUUACUCUGGUUCUCGGCCUCUCUGGCAAAAUGCAAACACAGUUUCAUCCUUGGAGAACUGUCUUUCAUGCAGGAACCCUUAUUUAAAUAAACUGCCUUCAGAACAU